UACGUAGGGACCAAGCGUUGUCCGGAAUCAUUGGGCGUAAAGAGCGUGUAGGCGGCUUGUUAAGUCUUGCGUGAAAUCUAUGGGCUCAACCCAUAGUCUGCAUCGGAAACUGUCGGGCUUGAGUAUGGGAGAGGUGAGUGGAAUUUCCGGUGUAGCGGUGAAAUGCGUAGAUAUCGGAAGGAACACCUGUGGCGAAAGCGGCUCACUGGACCAUUACUGACGCUGAGGCACGAAAGCUAGGGGAGCAAACAGG
rnacentral:rRNA from 1 species